UUUUUUUGAGAGGAUUAAUAUUCAACAGCAUAGUGAAUUGCUCUAAGAGAAAACAAAAAUUUUAAGUUCAUUAGAACACAUUAAUUCUGUGUCAGAAACCUAUGCUGUGUCAACUAUUUAAUCACAAUCCAAAUUUAGAGCUGAAUCCAGCUUGAAUGUUGUGUCCAUACUUGCCCCAACCGUUCAGGGUUCAACCUCUGCGGUCGUAUAAAGCUACGCCCUGCGGAGCAUCUGGUUAAGUUUUAUACACAAGUUGAAAGAGAGUGUUUGUUGCAAAAAUGUUACUUCCAGUUGACUUUUCAGUAAGCAUAUGAUAUUACAAAAUGUUACAGAUGCAUGAUAAACAUUAUUUACCCUGUAUCAAUGUUUCUCUGCUUAUAUUUUCAGUGGAAAACAGCAUUUUUUUGUGUAUUCAUAGUGUAAACCAGUAAAUACC
rnacentral:lncRNA from 1 species